ACAAAUGUGAGUGGUGAAUGGGUGAAUGAUAUUUGAUUAACUUGAUUUUUUCUACUUAACGUAUUCUAAAAUGUGAAUGGCUCGGAUUAUCAAAAUAGACCUGAAAUGGGCCCAAAUCGCCGCACAGCAGAUGCUACUAUGCAGGCUGCGCAGCAGCAUCCCCACUUCCCUACCGAUUAUCUCUUCCCUCUCAUUUUUCUUUAACUUUCAGUAUGGUUGCAGAAGACACACACACAUCUAUGUACGUACAUGGAUGUGUGGUCUUUCUACUUGGUUUGGUUGGGGGACAGCCAUGGCUACGUUCAUGACAAAAAAAGGAAAAAAUAAUAAUCUAUAACAUCUAUAAAAAGAAUAUUUGGACUGGCUACGUGGCCUUCAGAUUAGCCACACACACGAGAGUAGAAACAAACAAAUUCCAUCAUUCAUUUGUACAAAUGCCGACUUCCUUUCGGUUGCUGCUUCAUUUCCAAUACGAUUCCUCGUAGAAAUUCUCCAAAACGGUGGUCUUCGAUUUGCCUAUUUCCCAAAGUGUUGCCCACGUGGAAUGCAGAUUAGUGACACCGACAAUGAAGAAGACAACAAAUUUUACCGCUUCAAAUAUGGGGUUUACAAGAUAUAUAUGUAUAUAUCUUGUGGGUGGAUUUUCGGUCAUCCUCUUCUGCCCAUCACUGUUGGUGUUCUUGCUGCCAUAACGCUGUGAAAAUUGGGCAUCCAAAGCUGUGGUCCUGCCGUUGCAAAUUCUGCUCGGCGGUUUCUUCAUUUGGACUUACGCUUACCAACUAGUAUGAAGCUCAGCCUCGAAAUUCAAAGCUCUUCAAGCAGCUGAAGAGGUCUCAAAGGUACAAAACAAAGUGCAAUGUGAGGUAGAUAAAUACUAAAGUGUUUAAAUUUAGUAAAUUUUUUGAAAAAUUAAUUUUGAAUCAAAUUGAUAAAAAUAGACUACUUUGCUAGAUAUAGAGUCGCAACCUAAAUAUUUUUGGAAAAUUUAAGAAACCCAUGACUCGUGUCGAAGGCCACGUGUCCAUCAUCACCAAAAUUAUCUCGGCUCGGGAACUUAGGUACGAGAUGAGAAGGUUAUGAAUUGAGUACCCUUGCUUGCUCGACUAAACAUUAAAAGUUACCUAGAAGUUACUCUACUCAAUAUGUAUAUUAAUGCGACCUUCACUUAAUCAUUAAAAAUUAUAUAUAUCGAUUUGUGAUCGGUAUGAUUUAAUUUUUAAGGUUCCAAUAUUAGAUUAAAUAUUAAAAAUGAGUUUAGAAAAUUUAGUUCGAAUUUUUUUUCCCCCAAUGAUUAUUGGUUUAAGCUAUAAUACAUCAUAUUUUAAUACUUCAAUAUCAUAAAAAAAAAUAAUCUUUAUCAAUCAAUAAUUUCUUUUUACAAAUAUUAAGAGAAUUAUAUUUGAACAAAUUCCAACGUAAAAUUUUGGAUAAAUUACAAAUACACCCUUUGAGAUUUGCUUAAAAUACAAAUUGCCCCUAUGGUUUGGAAAAUUACAAAU